UACUCUGAUUGGUUUUAAAGUCAAAUGAACUUUAACCUUGGUGGUUCAGCUUCGCAGUGAUUUUUCAACAAGCAUGGCGGCUAUAGGAGUACAUUUCGGCUACACAUGUGCCUGUGUCGCUAUUUUUAAGGAUGGCCGAGCGGAGGUGGUCGCCAAUGACGCCGGAGACCGAGUCACUCCUGCCGUGGUGGCUUACCGAGACACGGAACAGAUAGUAGGGAUUGCGGCUAAGCAGGGUCGUGUCCGAAACGCAGCCAACACUGUGGUUAAAGUCAAACAGGUGCUGGGGAGGAGUUUUGAGGAUCCUGAGGUGCAGACGCAUAAAGCUGAGAGUAAAUGUCCUGUUGUCAACAAGGGAGAGAAGCCAGUGUAUGAGAUGACUGGAGAGAUGACCAGACAUGUGGCUCCCCAAGAUGUUGCCAAGCUGAUCCUACACAAGAUGAAAGAGACGGCUCAAUCGGCCUUGGGCGCUGAUGUCACAGAGGCUGUCAUCACUGUCCCCUUUGAGUUCGCACAUGCUCAGAAGGCGGCGUUGCGGGCGGCUGCGGAGGCGGCAGGGUUCCGUGUGUUGAGGCUGAUCCACGAGCCAGCUGCUGCUCUACUGGCCUACGGAAUCGGACAGGACUGCCCCUCUGGGAAGAGCCAUGUCCUGGUGUAUAAACUAGGUGGGACGUCUCUGAGUGUGACGGUGCUGCAGGUGAAUGGUGGAAUGUUCCGGGUUCUGAACACCCACACAGACCACAGCAUCGGAGGAGAGAGCUUCACAAGCGCCCUGGCACAGCACCUGGCUGCAGAGUUCAAACGGUCGUAUAAACAGGAUGUUAGUAGUAACCCACGGGCCAUGUUGAAGCUGAUGAAUGGAGCAGACAUGGCCAAACAUUCUCUCUCCACGCUGGGUUCUGCUAAUUGCUUCGUUGACUCGCUACACGACGGCAUGGACUUCGACUGCAACAUCUCCAGGGCCCGUUUUGAGCUGCUGUGUUCUUCCCUGUUCAACAAGAGUGUCCAACCAAUCAGAAGCCUGCUGGAGACGACUGGGCUCUCUACUAGCGACAUCAACAAGGUGGUUCUCUGUGGGGGCUCUGCGAGGAUUCCUCGGCUGCAGCAGAUGAUCAAAGAUCUGUUCGCUGACGUGGAGCUGCUCAGCUCCGCCCCUCCUGAUGAGGUCAUAGCGGUCGGCGCAGCGAUGGAAGCGGGCCUUCUAGUCGGGCGGAGAUUGGCUCCUCCCAGAGUCUGUUACCGUGGAAGCCUGUGUCUCAGACAUUCUGCUCAAGGAGGUGGAUGAAACAGGGGCUGAGGUGUUCUCUGUGCUCCUUCCCUCGGGCACGCCCCUUCCUGCUCGGCGACAUCACAUCCUGUCUGGUCCUGGCCGCCUGGCAUCCCUCUGUCUGGAGCUUUACCAGAAAACCACAGAGCAGCCAGAGAGACUGGCCAAGAUUGUUCUGAGAGACCUGGAGACCAAAGAGGACAACCAUGACAUUGAUGCCGUGGUGACCAUGAAGAGGGACGGCUCUCUCCAUGUGAGCUGUGUGGAGCAGAACAGUGGGAAGACUGAAGCCAUCAGUAUAUCAGCAGCCUCCUGAUUUCACCACCAGCUCCAAGUUAAUAUCACUAUACUUGUUGUUGAAGUUCCUUUUAAAGUUUAAAUAAAGACAUUUUGGUUUAA